ACUCCUACGGGAGGCAGCAGUGGGGAAUAUUGCACAAUGGGCGAAAGCCUGAUGCAGCAACGCCGCGUGAGUGAUGAAGGCCUUCGGGUUGUAAAGCUCUGUCUUUGGGGACGAUAAUGACGGUACCCAAGGAGGAAGCCACGGCUAACUACGUGCCAGCAGCCGCGGUAAAUAACAUAGCCGCAGCCGCGGUAAU
rnacentral:rRNA from 1 species